AUAGAAAGUAACUAAGAUAGGUAUUGACUUGUCCUGAUGUGCUAGAAUUCUCAACGAGGAUCUGCUGGUGUUGAUUAACUGGUAGGGACAGUAAGUGGCCCAUUUAGUGCCUUGAUCAGAAUCUUGU
rnacentral:snoRNA from 1 species